AGUCGCACGAGAAAGUGGAGCAAUCCAUGAGUAAAGUGGCGUACGGGUGAGUAACACGUGGAUCAUCUACCUUUUAGUGGGGAAUACCCCUGGGAAACCGGGGACAAUACCGCAUAAGCUCGUAAGAGGAAAGCAGCAAUGCGCUGAAAGAGGAGUCCGCGGCUGAUUAGCUAGUUGGCGGGGUAACGGCCCACCAAGGCGAAGAUCGGUAGCCGGCCUGAGAGGGCACACGGCCACACUGGCACUGAAACACGGGCCAGACUCCUACGGGAGGCAGCAGUGGGGAAUCUUGCACAAUGGAGGAAACUCUGAUGCAGCGACGCCGCGUGAGCGAUGAAGCCCUUCGGGGUGUAAAGCUCUUUCGACGGGAACGAUAAUGACGGUACCCGAAGAAGAAGCUGCGGCUAACUACGUGCCAGCAGCCGCGGUAAUACGUAGGCAGCGAGCGUUGUUCGGAAUUACUGGGCGUAAAGAGUGCGUAGGCGGUGCUCUAAGUCUGUCGUGAAAUCUCCCGGCUUAACUGGGAGGGUGCGGCGGAAACUGGAGUGCUCGAGUGUGGGAGAGGUAAGCGGAAUUCCUGGUGUAGCGGAGAAAUGCGUAGAUAUCAGGAGGAACACCUGUGGUGUAGACAGCUUACUGGACCACGACUGACGCUGAGGCACGAAAG
rnacentral:rRNA from 1 species